AUUUAACUGCAGAGUGAACUUCCUCGUAUCGUCACAAUAUACGGUAUCAAUAUGAGGAAAAUAACAACUACGUUGUUAAUGGCCAUGUUAAUUAUCGAUUUAAAUAUGGCUAUGGUCAUAAAUCACCAAGCAAAGGAUAAAAUAAAUAUACCCUUUAUCAUCUAUAAGAAAAAUCCAGAAAUAGGGUUUGAAAAUAUCGCAGACGACGUUUUUCCAACCGAUCUUGACACAAAAGAAUCAGUAGAUGGUAACAUAAUUGGGAACAAUAUUCUUAACGCCGAUGAAAAUGAAAAUGUUCGAGAUAUUCUAAAUAUGAACAAGAAAAGCGAAAUAGUUGAAAUAAGCGAAUAUGUUGAUGAUAACAGCGAAGCUGCUCCUUUAACUUUAGACAACUUCGUGAAUGUUGCUCAGAACGCACAAAAAACCAUACCCCUGCGAAAUAGGAGAGGUACUUUUGGGGCAUUACCUGGAGCAGGCUGUCCAAAAGGAUGGGAGAUUGUAAAGUUUGGUUAUUAUAAGGUUUGUGUGACACACGCCGUUGCGGAAGCAUAUCGUUAUCAUCGUGUGUGAUUACUUAAUAAAGGUAUCGAAAAUA